AGCUUUGCGCAGUGGCGAUAUCGUAACCAAUGAGGUCUAUCCGAGGUGCGAUUAUUGCUAGUUGAAAACUUUAACCAAUACCCCGCCAUGUGGACAUGAAACACUGUCCGCAUAGGCAAUUUUUGGAGGCCCUGACGGGC